CGACCGGCGCACGGGUGAGUAACACGUAUGCAACCUGGCCGUGACAGAUGGAUAACCGGGAGAAAUCCCGCCUAAUACAGCAUGACGCCGGGAAGGGACAUCCCUUUCCGGCCAAAGGGGGCGACUCCGGUCACGGAUGGGCAUGCGGCGCAUUAGGUAGUUGGUGGGGCAACGGCCCACCAAGCCGACGAUGCGUAGGGGUUCUGAGAGGAAGGUCCCCCACACUGGUACUGAGACACGGACCAGACUCCUACGGGAGGCAGCAG
rnacentral:rRNA from 1 species